rnacentral:rRNA from 1 species
UACGGAGGGUGCAAGCGUUGUCCGGAUUUAUUGGGUUUAAAGGGUGCGUAGGCGGUUAAUUAAGUCAGUGGUGAAAUCCUGGAGCUCAACUUCAGAACUGCCAUUGAUACUGGUUGACUUGAGUACAGACGAGGUUGGCGGAAUUGAUGGUGUAGCGGUGAAAUGCAUAGAUACCAUCAAGUACACCGAUUGCGAAGGCAGCUAACUAGGCUGUAACUGACGCUGAGGCACGAAAGCGUGGGGAGCAAACAGG